CGAGCCUCAAGCAAGGGACUUC
rnacentral:miRNA from 1 species